rnacentral:ribozyme from 13 species
AGAGAAAGAGAGAAAGAGAGAAGAGAGAAAGAAGAGUGGGAGUUCGAAACAGGUUGCUUCUAGUGUUAUUGCUACUGCUCGCCCUUCUGGUGCUGAUCCUUUGUCUUUGGAAGAUGAUCCUUCUGUUCUUCGUGUCCCAAGACCAAACCGAAAAGCCCACAGAAGAAGCCGCUCGGACAUGACCAACGCCUUCGCUCUCGCAAUGGAAGAAGAAAGAAGAAGAGUAGAAAAACAAAAUUCUUCCUCUUCUUCUUCUU